rnacentral:lncRNA from 1 species
AGGACCCAGAGGGAGCGGAGCACGCGCCUUUGGGAAUCUUCGGUGCGCCAAGUCUGUUCGCCGCCGGGGUCUAUCACCCCCGCCCCUCGCCUCUGCCCGUGAGCGUCUGGCUUGGCUUUUUCAGAGGAAACAGAGACUCUCAGACAUGAAUACUGUGACACUGACCACCAGGCCAACUUAACAUCAGCAGAUAUCCUGUCUCAGAUGAAGAGAUGGAGUCUCGCACUGUCGCCCCAGUUGGAGUGUAAUGGUGCGAUCUCGGCUCACUGCAAGCUCCGCCUCCCGGGUUCAUGCCAUUCUCCUGCCUCAGCCUCCUGAGUAGCUGGAACUACAGAAUGGCCUGUCCAGAAGACAGCCAAAUACAUCCUUCAAACAGACUUCACUGCAGGAGACAGAGUGGAUUCAUCCUGUAUUCUCCAUGUAGACUUCCAUCUUCAUGAGUACUCCAAGAAGAUGGUUCAGUUGACUAUUGCAAAGUCUCAGGUAUGUCUUUAUCAGCAGCAUGAAAAUGGACUAAUAGUACCAGUAGAGUGGGGCAUUGCUGAAAAGAUACCCGAAAAUGUGGAAGCAACUUUGGAACUGGGUGUUGAAAUAAUCUGGAGGGCUCAGAAGAAGAUAGGAAAAUGUAGGAAAGUUUGGAACCUCCUAGAGACUGUGAAUGGCAUUGACAAAAAUACUGAUAGUGAUAUGAACAAUAAGGUCCAGGCUGAGGUGGUCUCAGAUGGAGAUGAAGACCUUGUUGGGAACUGAAGUAAAGGUGACCCUUGUUAUGUUUUAGCAAGGAGACUGGCAGCAUUUCACCCUUGCCCUAGAGAUUUGUGGAACUUAGAGCUUGAGAGAGAUGACUUAGGGUAUCUGGUGGAAUAAAUUUCUAAGCAGCAAAGCAUUCAAAAGGUGACUUGGGUGCUGUUAAAAACAUUCUGUUUUAAAAGGGAAACAAGAGCAUAAAUGUGGAAAAUCUGCAGCCUGAUGAUGCAGUAGAAAAGAAAAACCCAUUUUUUUUAAGGAGAAAUUCAAGCUGGCUGCAGAAAUUUGCAUAAGCAGCAAGGAGCCUAAUGUUAAUCCCCAAGACCAUGGGGAAAAUGUCUCCAGGUCAUGUCAGAGACCUUCAUGGCAGCCCCUCCCAUCACAGGCCCAGAGGCCCAGGAGGAAAAAGUGGUUUUGUGGGCUGGGCCCAGGGUCUCUGUGCUGUGUGCAGCCUAGGGACUUGGUGCCCUGUGUCCCAGCUGCUCCAGCCAUGGCUGAAAGGAGCCAACAUAGAGCUUGGGCUGUGGCUUCAGAGGGUAGAGGCCCCAAGCAUUGGCAGCUUCCAUGUGAUGUUGAGCCUGUGGGUGCAGAGAUGUCAAGAAUUGAGAUUUGGGAACCUCUGCCUAGAUUUCAGAAUAUAUAUGGAAACACCUGGAUGUCCAGGCAAAAGUUUGCUGCAGGGGCAGAGCCCUCAUGGGGAACCUCUCCUAGGGCAGUGUGGAAGGGAAAUGUGGGGCAGAGCCCCCACACAGAGUCCCUGUUGGGGCACUGCCUAGUGGAGCUGUGAGAAGAAGGCCACAGUCCCAGAACGGUAGACCCCAGAAUGGUAGACCCCAGAAUGGUAGAUCAACCACCAACUUGCAUCUUGUGCCUGGAAAAGCUACAGACACUCAACAUCAGCCUGAGAAAGCAGCCAGGAGGGAGGCUGUACUCUGCAAAGCCACAGGGGCGGAGCUGCACAAGACCAUGGGAACCUAUCUCUUGCAUCAGCAUGACCUGAAUGUGAGACAUGGAGUCAAAGGAGAUCAUUAUGGAGCUUUAAAAUUUGACUGCCCCACUGGAUUUCAGACUUGCAUGGACCCUGUAACCCCUUUGUUUUGGCCAAUUUCUCUCAUUUGGAACAGCUGUAUUUACCCAAUACCUGUACCCCCCAUUGUAUCUAGGAGGUAACUAGCUUGCUUUUACAGGCUUGUAAGUGGAAGGGACUUGCCUUGUCUCAGAUGAGACUUUGGACUGUGGACUUUUGGGUUAAUGCUGAAAUGAGUUAAGACUUUGGGGAACUGUUGGGAAGGAAUGAUUGGUUUUGAAAUGUGAGGAUUAUGAAAUUUGGAGGAGCCCAGGGAGGAAUGAUAUGGUUUGGCUGUGUCCCCACCCAAAUCUCAACUUGAAUUGUAUCUCCCAGAAUUCCCACAUGUUGUGGGAGGGACGCAGUGGGAGGUAAUUGAAUCAUGGAGGCCAGUCUUUUCUGUGCUAUUCUCGUGAUAAUAAGUCCCACAAGAUCUGGUGGGUUUAUGAAGAGUUUCUGCUUUUGCUUCUUCCUCAUUUUGCUCUUGAUGCCACCACGUAAGAAGUACCUUUUGCCUCCCACCUGAUUUUGAGGCCUCCCCAGCCAUGUGGAACUGUAAGUCCAAUUAAACCCUUUUUGUUUCCAGUCUCAGAUAUGUCUUUAUCAGCAGCAUGGAAACGAACUAAUACAAUCAUAGUUUUUAAAAACCAAUCUAAAUGUAACUAUUGAACAUGAUUAGCUGUUUCAUCCCUAGUAGAGUGACAGAAGGAAACAUCCAUAGACAGGAGUAAUAAGAAACCAGCUAAACUUCUAAACCAUUUUUAAAGGAUGCGUGUGAGCUGGCAUAACCUACCUACUCUUUCCUAUGGGCCUCUACUGAGAGCAUGGAGGUAAUACAUCUAAUACACUGAAGACCAGGGCAAGAGAGCUGGAAGAAAUCCCUCUUAAGCACUCCAGGCCUUCACUGAGUAUGAGGUGCUGGUCUCCAAAGGCAGAGGGCAAGGCAAGGCAGAGAGGGAUCUCCUGGGGCACAGACAACUGACAAAAGAAACACUUGGAUUGUUGUAUAAGAGGAGUGAGCUUUGUAAAUACCACGUUAGCUGGCCUGCUGUGGAACAGAAUGCCUGUGAAUGACAGUAGUCAGGUAGUGGAUGAACACUGAUCUGAGAGCCUGUAAAAGAAACUCUUUGGAAUGAUAAUGUCAUCUAGACCUUUGAUACGCAAAGUGUGAUUCCUGGACAGAUGUAUUGGCUUUACCUGGCAGCUUGUUGGAAAUGUAAAACCUCAGGCCUCACCCCAGACCUAC